rnacentral:rRNA from 1 species
CAACCCCAUGUCAGGUGGGAUUACCUGCGGAGUUUAAGCAUAUCAAUAAGCGGAGGAAAAGAAACUUAUAAGGAUUCCCUAAAUAAUGGCGAGAGAAUUGGGAAUAUCCCAGCCUUAGAAUUAGACGGCUCCGUCAUCCAAAUUUUAGUCUAGAGAAGCGUCCUCAGCAGUGGACCAAUCCCAAUAAACCUGGAAGGAGGCGCAAGACAGGGUGAGAUCCUUGUUGUUCCCGAACCUUGUCGCACCAUAAGGUGCUAUCUACGAGUCGGAUUGUUUGGGAAUGCAGCCCAAAUCAGGUGGUGAAUUCCGUCCAAGGCUAAAUACAGGCGAGAGAUCGAUAGCGAACGAGUACCAUAAGGGAAUGAUGAAAAGGACUUUGAAAAGAAAUUCAAAAAGUGCUUUAAAUUAUUGGGAGAAAAGCAGAUGGGGGCCGGUGAUGCACCCCGAUCGGAUAUAAAAUGGUGAUAAGAUGGUCUGCCGAUAGACUCGUGGUAUGGACCAGCGUGGAUUGGGGGCGGCCAAAGCCCGAGCUCUUGAUACACUCUUUGAAUGUCGUUUCCUCAAUUAUAGCAGACAGCGUGCACCUCUGGCGUACUUCGGCAUCUGUGCGCUACGGAUGCUGGCCUGCGGGCUCCUCAUUUGAGCCGUCUUGAAAUACAAACCAAGGAUUCUGACAUUUAUGCGAGUCAACGGGCGAUCAAAAUCAUAAGGUGUAAGGAAGCUAAUUGUUGGUAUCCCAUUGAAGGGUACCCCACCGAUCAACCUUGAUCUUCUGAGAAGGGUUCGAGUGUGAGCAUACCUUUAGGGAUUCGAAAAAUAGUGAACUAUGCCUAAGCGGGGAGAAGCCAGAGAAAACUCUGGUGGAGGCCCGCAGCGAUACUAACGUGCAAAUUUUUCAUCUGACUUGGGUAUAGGGGUGAAAGACUAAUCGAACUGUCUAGUUCUUCUUCCCUCUGAAUUUUCCCUCAGGAUAGCUGGAGCUCACAUGCGAGUUCUAUAGGGUAAACCCAAUGAUUAGAGGCCUCGGGGGCACAACGCCCUCGACCUAUUCAUAAACUUAAAAUAGGUAGAAUGGAGUGGCUGCUUUGUUAAGACGCACCACAGAAUCAAGAGCUCCAAGUGGACCUUUUUUGGAAAGCAGAACAGGUGAUGCGGGAUGAACCAGAAGCCAGGCUAUAGUGCUAAACUGUGUGCUAACCCAGAUCCCACAAAGGGUGUUGGUCAAUUAAGACAGCGGGACGGUGGUCAUGGAAAUUGAAAUCCACUAAGAAUUGUAAAAAAACUCUCCUGUUGAAUCAACUAGCCCCAAAAAUAAAUGGUGCUUAAGUGCGCAACCUACACUCGGCUGUCGGGGCAAGUGCCAGGCCCCGAUGAGUAGGAGGGAACGGUGAUCGCUGUAAAACAUUGGGUGCUAGCUCAUGUAAAGCUGCCUUCGGUGCAAAUCUUAGUGGUAGUAGCAAAUAUUCAAAUGAGAACUUUGAAGGAUGAAGAGGGGAAAGGUUCCAUGUGAACGGCACUUGCACAUGGGUUUAUUGAUCCUAAGGGUCGAGCUAAACCCGAUAGAUAGCAUGUUUUAUGCAUACUCUGAAAUGGAAUUGGGUUAAAAUCCCUGAACCGGGAUGUGGCAGUCGACAGCAAUGUUAGAAAGUCUGAAGAUGACGGUCAGUAAAAGUUAUCUUUAUUGUUUAACAGCCUUCCCACCCUGGAAUCAGCUCAGCCAAAGGUAGGGUCCAGCGGCUAGAAGUGCAACGCACAUUGUGUAGUUUUCGGUGUGCUCUCAGAGGCCCUUGAAAAUCUAGAGAACCGAAUUCCAUCUACGCCCAGUCAUACUUAUAACUGUAUCAGGUCUACAAGGUGAACAGCCUAUGGUCAAUGGAACAAUGUAGGCAAGAGAAGUCGGCAAAAUAGAUCCAUAACUUCAAAAAAAGGAUUGGCUCUAAGGUAUGGGCAUGGGGGUCCCAGUCCCAAACCCUUCGGCUGUCGGUGGACUGCUCGAGCUGCUUCCAUAGCGAGAGCGGGUCACCGUGUGCCGAAUAGGGGAUGGAUUAGGAACGGUUCCUUCGGGGGCAUUCCACUGGUCGAACAGUAACCUCAGAACUAGUAUGGACAAAGGGAAUCCUACUAUUUAAUUAAAACAAAGCAUUGUCAUGGUCCCAACGGAUGUUCACGCAAUGUGAUUUCUGCCUAAUGCUAUGAAUGUUAAAGUGAAGAAAUUCAACCAAGUACGGGUAAACGGUGGGAGUAACUAUGACUUUCUUAAGGUAGCCAAAUUCCUCAUCAUCAAAUUAGUGACACAUAUGAAUGGAUUAACGAGAUUCCCACUGUCCGUGUCUACUAUCCAGCGAAACCACAUCCAAGGGAACGGGCUUGGCAGAAUCAGCAGGGAAAGAAAACCCUGUUGAGCUUGACUCUAGUCUGACUUUGUGAAAUGACUUGAGAGAUGUAGUAUAAGUGGGAGCCAAACGACGAAAGUGAAACACCACUACUUUAACGUUAUUUUACUUAUUUCGUGAAUCAAAGGUAGGGUACUGCCCCUCGUUUUUGACCCAAGGCUUGCUCUGCGGACUGAUCGAGGUGGAAGACAUUUUUUGGUGGGGAGUUUAGCUGGGACGGCACAUCUUUUAAAAGAUAAUGCAGGUAUCCUAAGAUGAGCUCAACGAGAACAGAAAAAUUGUGUGGAACAGAAGGGUAAAAGCUCAUUUGAUUUUGAUUUCCAGUAUGAAUACGAACCGUGAAAGCAUGGCCUAAUGAUCCACCAACCUCAAUAUCAGGGUUUAUAUAUGGAUUUGAAAGGAACCCAAAUUAACCAUCUCAGAUUUGCAGAUGAUAUCAUCAUCAUCACUACUGGCAGAAGAAACACUCUUAGACUGAUUAUGAAGACAUUGGCUUCUUAUGAAAUUGUACUUGGCUAAAUGAUCAAUAAAUAUAAGAGUCAAUUCAUGUUACCAAACCAAGAUUUUCCUUCUACUGACUUUAGGAUU